rnacentral:rRNA from 1 species
GACGAACGCUGGCGGCGUGCCUAAUACAUGCAAGUUGAGCGAUAAAGAUUGGUGCUUGCACCAAUUUGAAGAGCAGCGAACGGGUGAGUAACGCGUGGGGAAUCUGCCUUUGAGCGGGGGACAACAUUUGGAAACGAAUGCUAAUACCGCAUAACAACUUUAAACAUAAGAUUUAAGUUUGAAAGAUGCAAUUGCAUCACUCAAAGAUGAUCCCGCGUUGUAUUAGCUAGUUGGUGAGGUACAGGCUCACCAAGGCGAUGAUACAUAACCGACCUGAGAGGGUGCGAGGGCACGUCGGGAUGAGGAGACGGCCCAAAACACUACGGGAGGGACAAGGAGGGAACCUUCGGCAAAGGCCGAAAGGCGGACCAAGCAACGCUGGGUGAGUGAAGAAGGUUUUCGGAUCGUAAAACUGUGUUGGUAGAGAAGAACGUUGGUGAGUGUGGAAAGCUCAGAAAGUGACGGUAACUACCCAGAAAGGGACGGCUAACUACGUG